rnacentral:lncRNA from 1 species
CUCUGUUUGAGAGAGGAGGGGGUCCGCCGGGUCCUGACGGGGACAAGCUGAGGUUGGACACCUUCCCGUUCCUGAGCUCAGGUGCCCCUUGCUACUCGAAGCCCCCAUCCCUGUUGGGUCCUUACCCUCGUAAUCCACCGUUUGACUACCAAUGGGGUUUUAACCCUUACCUCCCAGGGGCUUUUUCACUAAACAACUGUCCUAAACUGCCCCCUGGCUCCCUCUAUCCUUCCCACUUUUACCCCAAUCCACUGCAAACCAGCUUGUCCCAGCUGCCGAACCCCUUCUCCUCUAUACUACCCCCAGGAGAGGCGGCCGAGAGGGCUGGGGGGCAAACGGGAGGGGCCAAUGGCGCAGCGGGAGGGCAGUCUGCUAGAGUCUGCAUACCCUCCUACCCUGGCACCCUGGCGCUGAAUCGGACUGACGUCGGCAACGGAGGCGCAAGUGAGAGAGAGAGAGCGGAGGGCAACGGACCCAACGGCGGGCUGGGGUUGGGCCUGGGGUUGGGUUUAGGGUUAGGUUUGGGGGGUGUCAGUUUGGGGAACGGCGCGGGGAGGCAAAGCCCUUUGGAGAGGCGCAGCGUGGUGAAGCAGGACCCAGAAUCCGAUUCGGAGCUGGAGAUCACCGAUCUGAGCGACUGCAGCUCCGAGAACGAGAACGAGACCGACUUCAUCAUCUCCAAGGAGGGCAGGCUGAACAGCCGAUCGCGGAUUCUGGAGGCGAAAUCGGCGACUCCUCUGCCGGCCCUGUCAUCCCUCCCCCACCCCGGGUCCCCCCAUCACCUCAAGAGCUUACUGCCCUCAAAUCCUCCGACUCCUUCCCUUCCUGCAUCCAUCUCGCCCUCGCUCUCCAUGGUAGACCGACACAGGGAAACAGAGGCACUCAAACUGGCUCACAGCUAAUAAAUCUGGUCCCAAGUCCCGUGAUCUUUCAUCUCUCUCUCUCUCAAAAUUUCCCUCCUUCUCUCAUUUUGUCUUCUAUCUCGAUUUCGCGCCCUUUUUCUUUCGCAUUUUUCCAGCUCUUCCCGCCCACUGUAUUUCCGUACCUCCUUUCCGGUUUCUCUGCUCUGAUAAUUUUGCAUUCUGUACAGUUUUCCGUCUCGAUUUUUGAUCGGUAAUUUUAAUUUGCUCGGAAGGCCGUGUUAUUCUCAUAUUUCGACAGAAUUUCAAACCGGUGUUUCCUGGUAAUAGGGAACGUCUUUAUUUUAGUUCAGUCAACUUUUGCUCAUAUAUUUGUGUUUCGUGGUCUUUAUAAAAUGUUGCUAUGGCAUUUCUUAACUAUUUGUAAUUGGAUUUUGGGGGAAAAAAAGUAUAUGUUGUUUCAGAUCAUGUUCCUCUGUGCAAUAUUGUACUGUGCAAUAAUGCUGUUUGCCUGGUGUUGUGUGGCAGGCACAUCACACUGUUUGUACCGCGCUCCGGCUGAGGGCCUUGCGUUACUUUACGUUACUGAUGUUACAUUACGUUACUUC